UUAAGCCAUGCGAGUCAAAUGUUCUUCGUGAACAUGGCGUCUGCUCAGUAACACGUGGAUAACCUGCCCUUAGGACUGGCAUAACCCCGGGAAACUGGGGAUAAUUCCGGAUAGUUCAUGGCAGCUGGAAUGCUCCAUGAUCGAAAGCUAUUGCGCCUAAGGAUGGGUCUGCGGUCUAUCAGGUAGUAGUGGGUGUAAUGUACCUACUAGCCGACGACGGAUACGGGUUGUGGGAGCAAGAGCCCGGAGAUGGAUUCUGAGACAUGAAUCCAGGCCCUACGGGGCGCAGCAGGCGCGAAAACUUUACAAUGCGGGAAACCGCGAUAAGGGGACACCGAGUGCCAGCAUCUUAUGUUGGCUGUCCGCAUGUAUAAAUCACAUGUGUUAGCAAGGGCCGGGCAAGACCGGUGCCAGCCGCCGCGGUAACACCGGCGGCCCGAGUGGUGGCCACUAUUAUUGGGUCUAAAGGGUCCGUAGCCGGUUUGGUCAGUCUUCCGGGAAAUCUGACGGCUUAACCGUUAGGCUUUCGGGGGAUACUACCAGGCUUGGGACCGGGAGAGGUAAGAGGUACUACGGGGGUAGGAGUGAAAUCUUGUAAUCCUCGUGGGACCACCAGUGGCGAAGGCGUCUUACCAGAACGGGUCCGACGGUGAGGGACGAAAGCUGGGGGCACGAACCGGAUUAGAUACCCGGGUAGUCCCAGCCGUAAACUAUGCUCGCUAGGUGUCAGGGACGGUGCGACCGUUUCUGGUGCCGCAGGGAAGCCGUGAAGCGAGCCACCUGGGAAGUACGGUCGCAAGGCUGAAACUUAAAGGAAUUGGCGGGGGAGCACUACAACGGGUGGAGCCUGCGGUUUAAUUGGACUCAACGCCGGAAAACUCACCGGGGGCGACAGCAAUAUGUAGGUCAAGCU
rnacentral:rRNA from 1 species